rnacentral:rRNA from 1 species
AGCUCCAAUAGCGUAUAUUAAAGUUGCUGCAGUUAAAAAGCUCGUAGUUGCAUUUCCGAGGCAAGGGAUUAGUCCGACCUUUGGUGGGUAUUUAAUCCUCUUGCCUCGUCCUUGAGUGGUGCUUCUUGGUAUUAAGUUAUCGAGGAGAUAGCCGCUCAUCGUUUACUGUGAGAAAAUUAGAGUGUUCAAAGCAGGCUUAUGCCGUUGAAUAUAUUAGCAUGGAAUAAUAAGAUAGGACCUCGGUACUAUUUUGUUGGUUUGAGAACCAAGGUAAUGAUGAAUAGGGACAGUUGGGGGUAUUCGUAUUCAGUUGUCAGAGGUGAAAUUCUUAGAUUUACGGAAGACGAACUACUGCGAAAGCAUUUACCAAGGAUGGGUUCA